rnacentral:rRNA from 1 species
CCUGGUUGAUCCUGCCAGUAGCAUAUGCUUGUCUCAAAGCUUAAGCCAUGCAUGUCUAAGUACACACGGGCGGUACAGUGAAACUGCGAAUGGCUCAUUGAAUCAGUUAUGGUUCCUUUGGUCGCUCCUCUCCGGCUCCUUGGAUAACUGUGGUAAUUCUAGAGCUAAUACAUGCCGACGAGAGCCGACCUCCGGGGACACGUGCAUUUAUCAGACCAAAACCAGCCUGGGCCCGCCCGGCAGCUUUGGUGACUCUAGAUAACCUCGAGCCGAUCGCACGCCCCNGCGGCGGCGACGACCCAUUCGAAUGUCUGCCCUAUCAACUUUCGAUGGUACUGUCUGUGCCUACCAUGGUGACCACGAGUGACGGGGAAUCAGGGUUCANUUCCGGAGAGGGAGCCUGAGAAAUGGCUACCACAUCCAAGGAAGGCAGCAGGCGUGCAAAUUACCCACUCCCGACCCGGGGAGGUAGUGACNAAAAAUAACAAUACAGGACUCUUUCGAGGCCCUGUAAUUGGAAUGAGCGCACUUUAAAUCCUUGAGCGAGGAUCCAUUGAAGGGCAAGUCUGGUGCCAGCAGCCGCGGUAAUUCCAGCUCCAAUAGCGUAUCUUAAAGUUGCUGCAGUUAAAAAGCUCAUAGUUGGAUCUUGGGAUCGAGCUGCCAGUCCGCCGCGAGGCGAGCUACCGCCUGUCCCAGCCCCUGCCUCUCGGCGCCCCCUCGAUGCUCUUAGUUGAGUGUCCCGCGGGGCCCGAAGCGUUUACUUUGAGAAAAUUAGAGUGUUCAAAGCAGGCCAGCCGCCGGCAUACUGCAGCUAGGAAUAAUGGAAUAGGACUCCGGUUCUAUUUUGUUGGUUUUCGGAAACGGGGCCAUGAUUAAGAGGGACGGCUGGGGGCAUUCGUAUUGUGCCGCUAGAGGUGAAAUUCUUGGACCAGCGCAAGACGGCCUAGAGAGAAAGCAUUUGCCAAGUCUUCCGGUUUAACUUUUUUGAAAAAUGCUUGCUCUCCUGUAUCAAUAAUUGUAGGGUUUCAGCCUGAUAGAUUACACAUGAACAAAAAAAAAUUAUGUAAAGGUCAACCAUACCAAGAUGCAACUCCAAUCCCAGAAAGUAAUUUUCAUUUGCAUAGUGACAAGAGGUGAACCUCUGCUCACCCUAGUUAGAAUCACAAAAUCAUCUGGGUUGGAAAAGGCCCUUAAAAUCACAAGUAAUAAUUAAAUGUUGUCUGCCCAAUUGCAAACCAGGAACUUCUUGCAUGUGAGACAAAUGUGAUAACAACUACAGUAUGGAAAUGCUCCGUAUCUACUUGCUCACAUACUCUGGGAGAAGUGCCUAUAUUCAAAACAGUUACGGCAUACAAUUUUAUUUAUUCAAUAUCUAGUAUGAAAUUAUAAUGUUUCCUGUUCAAAUAUUAUAUCCUAUGUGUAUAAAUGGAAUAUAUUAGUAUAUUUGUUUGAGGUGACAGAAAUAAGCUUUAAAAGUUCACUAAUGUGGCUCAAUACAAUUUUCAAUGCAAAAUAUGAAGUUAAUAUUGCCCUACCUUCAUUUAGAUCCCAC